rnacentral:tRNA from 1 species
GCGGGAGUCGCCAAGUGGUAAGGCAGUAGCCUUCCAAGCUACCAUUUCGCGGGUUCGAAUCCCGUCUCCCGCUCUA